CAGCAGCCGCGGGAAAACGUAGGUGGCAAGCGUUGUCCGGAAUUAUUGGGCGUAAAGGGCUCGCAGGCGGUUUCUUAAGUCUGAUGUGAAAGCCCCCGGCUCAACCGGGGAGGGUCAUUGGAAACUGGGAAACUUGAGUGCAGAAGAGGAGAGUGGAAUUCCACGUGUAGCGGUGAAAUGCGUAGAGAUGUGGAGGAACACCAGUGGCGAAGGCGACUCUCUGGUAUGUAACUGACGCUGAGGAGCGAAAGCGUGGGGAGCGAACAGGAUUAGAUACCCGUGUAGUCCCUGUCUCUUAUAA
rnacentral:rRNA from 1 species